rnacentral:lncRNA from 1 species
UCGCACAAACUUGUUUCAAGUAGCGCAACAGUGCUGGGAAAUCAAUUCACUAUGGCCGUGCCUUACUGGAGCUCCUCCACAAAGAAAGAGAGCUCCUUAAUACCAGCUUAGGAAGCACUCCCACCUUACUGUCAACCACAGUUCUGUCUCGAUUUGAGCACACCUCAAGUCAUUUGAAGUCUACUCCAAACGGCAGCCAGCUGCGAUGCAUUUAAGCACCUGAUUACAAGGGUGCUCUUGCUAAAAGGAGCAAUGGCAGAGAGAGACUUCCAGUGCAGACUUUGUUAAGAUGCAUGCAAUCUAAUCGUGGG